rnacentral:lncRNA from 10 species
AGUUGCCGCUAGGCGAAAGUGGGGACCGCCACACAGUUGGCUGCGGAUUAAAGGUAGGGUGUGACGUGCUGAAGAGGGCCAAAGCGAGCCCCUCCCUGCCGCCUGCAUGAUUGGGUACUAUACAGCCAAAAAUAGCGUUUUUAGCCAUUUUAAAAAGGAAGAUCCAGCUGUAGAACAGACUGAUCACGAAAGCGAAGUAACUGCUCUUCCUCUCUCAAAGGCGAAAGAAACACAAAUGUUAAGUAGUCCUAUUUCGGUGAUGGGAUUAUAAGUAAUUUUUAAAAAUCUUUCCCGACAGUCAUUUAUUUUUUUUCAACAAAGAUUUAGCACCUCUCCCUAUUUAAGAUACAGCAGUGAACAAAAAGAACCCCCCACCCCCCCGCCCGCCUUGGCAGUUUAUUUUCUUGUGAGGGCGAAUAUGGUGUAAAAUACACACUAUACAAGAUGAUAAAGAUAUUAUGGACCGGCCCUAGUGCAGUGGCUCCCAGCACUUUGGGAGGCCGAGGAGGGCAGAUCACCUGAGGUCCGGAGUUGGAGACCAGCCUGGCCAACAUGGAGAAACCCCGACUCUACUAAAAAUACAAAAAUUAGCCAGGCGUGGUGGCGCGUGCCUGUAAUCGCAGCUACUCGGGAGGCUGAGGUAGGAGAAUCGCUGUAACCCGGGAGGUGGAGGCUGCAGGGAGCCGAGAUGCCACUGCACUCUAGCCUGGGCCACAGACUCCGUCUCAAAAAAAAAAAAAAAAUUAUGGAGGAAAAGAAAGGAAGGUAGCUAGGAAGUAGAGGUGAGGGGCUGCCAUUGAAAAUAACUUUCAGAUUUCCUAAAAUAAGCUUCUCUUUUUAAAUUUUGUUACUUGAAAUCCCCAGUGUAUAAAAAUGCAAACUUACAAACUUCCAAGAAGUUCACCUAGGGCCCUGGCGCCAUACUUUGCUCUGUGUGUACGUUCUGUAAAUGUCUCCUUAAUAAACAGAUACAGGCUUCAAUUCAUAAAAGUUCCAUUUGAUCAAUUUCAGGAAAAUCAAUGUGACGUUAAGCAAGACAUUUAUUGUGCCCACAGCUUCACCAUUCUGGUCUCUAUGAUUCCCUGCGAAGAUUGCUGUUAUCCCCCAGAGACACAGCUGAGCUGUCUCUCUAAAGGGCCUGUGUUCUACUCCUGAAUCUGGUUUCCCCUAAGCUUUUAUCUCACCCUGGUGACAGCUCAGAAACACACAAACUCUGUGUUAAGAAAACUAAGAAGUCAUUCAUCUGCACAUUUCCCGAAAUCCCCCAGAAGCCCGUAUUAGACUGAAUGGUGUCCUUAUUGCAAACUCUCCACUUUAGCCAAGGUGCAAAGUCCUCCCAGUCCCCCAGGAGCUUCCCUUCUCUGAGCGGUACUUAAGUUUUCUGUAAAACCACUCAGUUCAACAAAUGAGCUUCUCAAUCUUAGUUUCUGCUUGUUGACUUUAAAGUUAAUCUAUAAUAAACACACUGCAGUCCUCUUCCCUGACUCAUUGUCCACUUUGUCCAUUUGUGUCCUCAUACCAGAUUGUCUCAAUUCUCUUAACUGGUGAGAUAUUAUGAACUCAAAGCAUUUUGCACAAUGAUAUUCCAACAUGCUGCAUGCAACAAGCAGACAAUAAGUAACUAGUGAGGGAAAUAUUCCCUCAUACUCAAGAGAACCCUUUAUACAUUUUUAAAUAUUUUAGGGCCAGGCUUAUGCCUGUAAUCCCAAGUACUCGGGAGGCUGAGAUGGGAGGAUCACAGGAGCCCAGGAGUUCAAGGCUGCAGUGAGCUAUGAUGAUGACAGUGCACUUCAGUCUGGGUGACAGAGUAAGACUGUCUCUAAAAGUAAAAUAUCUUAAUACUGUACCUGACAUCUGACUAGAUGUACCCAGCAACCACUAUGUGCCAUAAUCUCUGGAUAAAUUCUAUGAACAUUCACUUAGAAAUAGCUGCAAGUCCCUGAAGACAGUAUGACAAAUACUGAGGCCCACAGUUUUUGGGUGAUCAGUUGCAUAAAAUGCUAAAAUAGAUGGUUCCUGUUUUGAAUGUCACUUUCAAACAUAGAAAAAAAAG